rnacentral:tRNA from 1 species
ACUAGCUUGGAUAAGGUGGAGAAUAUCUUCUCGAUUUGCCCAUGGAUAAUUAGCGGAAUCUUGUUUCCAUUGUUCAAGACGAUGAGAUAGUUCCA